rnacentral:rRNA from 1 species
CGGUUAAGUUAGAAAGGGCGCACGGUGGAUGCCUUGGCACUAGGAGCCGAUGAAGGACGGGACGAACACCGAUAUGCUUCGGGGAGCUGUAAGCAAGCUUUGAUCCGGAGAUUUCCGAAUGGGGAAACCCACCACUCGUAAUGGAGUGGUAUCCAUAUCUGAAUACAUAGGAUAUGAGAAGGCAGACCCGGGGAACUGAAACAUCUAAGUACCCGGAGGAAGAGAAAGCAAAUGCGAUUCCCUGAGUAGCGGCGAGCGAAACGGGACCAGCCCAAACCAAGAGGCUUGCCUCUUGGGGUUGUAGGACACUCUGUACGGAGUUACAAAGGAACGAGGUAGAUGAAGAGGUCUGGAAAGGCCCGCCAUAGGAGGUAACAGCCCUGUAGUCAAAACUUCGUUCUCUCCUGAGUGGAUCCUGAGUACGGCGGAACACGUGAAAUUCCGUCGGAAUCCGGGAGGACCAUCUCCCAAGGCUAAAUACUCCCUAGUGACCGAUAGUGAACCAGUACCGUGAGGGAAAGGUGAAAAGCACCCCGGAAGGGGAGUGAAAGAGAUCCUGAAACCGUGUGCCUACAAGUAGUCAGAGCCCGUUAACGGGUGAUGGCGUGCCUUUUGUAGAAUGAACCGGCGAGUUACGAUCCCGUGCAAGGUUAAGCAGAAGAUGCGGAGCCGCAGCGAAAGCGAGUCUGAAUAGGGCGAAUUGAGUACGUGGUCGUAGACCCGAAACCAGGUGAUCUACCCAUGUCCAGGGUGAAGUUCAGGUAACACUGAAUGGAGGCCCGAACCCACGCACGUUGAAAAGUGCGGGGAUGAGGUGUGGGUAGGGGUGAAAUGCCAAUCGAACCUGGAGAUAGCUGGUUCUCUCCGAAAUAGCUUUAGGGCUAGCCUCAAGGUAAGAGUCUCGGAGGUAGAGCACUGAUUGGACUAGGGGCCCCUACCGGGUUACCGAAUUCAGUCAAACUCCGAAUGCCGAUGACUUAUCCUUGGGAGUCAGACUGCGAGUGAUAAGAUCCGUAGUCGAAAGGGAAACAGCCCAGACCGCCAGCUAAGGUCCCAAAGUAUACGUUAAGUGGAAAAGGAUGUGGAGUUGCUUAGACAACCAGGAUGUUGGCUUAGAAGCAGCCACCAUUUAAAGAGUGCGUAAUAGCUCACUGGUCGAGUGACUCUGCGCCGAAAAUGUACCGGGGCUAAACGUAUCACCGAAGCUGCGGACUGUUCUUCGAACAGUGGUAGGAGAGCGUUCUAAGGGCUGUGAAGCAAGACCGGAAGGACUUGUGGAGCGCUUAGAAGUGAGAAUGCCGGUAUGAGUAGCGAAAGAGGGGUGAGAAUCCCCUCCACCGAAUGCCUAAGGUUUCCUGAGGAAGGCUCGUCCGCUCAGGGUUAGUCGGGACCUAAGCCGAGGCCGAAAGGCGUAGGCGAUGGAUAACAGGUUGAUAUUCCUGUACCACCUCCUCACCAUUUGAGCAAUGGGGGGACGCAGGAGGAUAGGGUAAGCGCGGUAUUGGAUAUCCGCGUCCAAGCAGUUAGGCUGGGAAAUAGGCAAAUCCGUUUCCCGUGAAGGCUGAGCUGUGAUGGCGAGCGAAUUAUAGUAGCGAAGUUCCUGAUUCCACACUGCCAAGAAAAGCCUCUAGCGAGGUGAGAGGUGCCCGUACCGCAAACCGACACAGGUAGGCGAGGAGAGAAUCCUAAGGUGAUCGAGAGAACUCUCGUUAAGGAACUCGGCAAAAUGACCCCGUAACUUCGGGAGAAGGGGUGCUCUGUUAGGGUGCAAGCCCGAGAGAGCCGCAGUGAAUAGGCCCAGGCGACUGUUUAGCAAAAACACAGGUCUCUGCGAAGCCGUAAGGCGAAGUAUAGGGGCUGACGCCUGCCCGGUGCUGGAAGGUUAAGAGGAGCGCUUAGCGUAAGCGAAGGUGCGAAUUGAAGCCCCAGUAAACGGCGGCCGUAACUAUAACGGUCCUAAGGUAGCGAAAUUCCUUGUCGGGUAAGUUCCGACCCGCACGAAAGGCGCAACGAUCUGGGCACUGUCUCAACGAGAGACUCGGUGAAAUUAUAGUACCUGUGAAGAUGCAGGUUACCCGCGACAGGACGGAAAGACCCCGUGGAGCUUUACUGCAGCCUGAUAUUGAAUGUUGGUACAGCUUGUACAGGAUAGGUAGGAGCCUUGGAAACCGGAGCGCCAGCUUCGGUGGAGGCAUCGGUGGGAUACUACCCUGGCUGUAUUGACCUUCUAACCCGCCGCCCUUAUCGGGCGGGGAGACAGUGUCAGGUGGGCAGUUUGACUGGGGCGGUCGCCUCCUAAAAGG